UACGUAGGGCGCAAGCGUUGUCCGGAAUUAUUGGGCGUAAAGAGCUCGUAGGCGGUUUUGUCGCGUCUGCUGUGAAAACCUAAGGCUCAACCUUGGGCUUGCAGUGGGUACGGGCAGACUAGAGUGCGGUAGGGGUGACUGGAAUUCCUGGUGUAGCGGUGGAAUGCGCAGAUAUCAGGGAGGGAACAGCCGGUGGCGAAGGCGGGAUCCUGGGCCAGUACUGAACGCUGAGGAGCGAAAGCGUGGGGAGCAAACAGG
rnacentral:rRNA from 1 species